UUGACUUCUUGGCCUUUUGGCUGUGAUCAAAUGUAUUAUUUGUUCUUAUCAAUUUAUCAUGUGUUAUGUCCUCGGUCCAAGGAUAAAAACAAAACUUAAAUGGUUUUUUUGGAGAAGAACGAUGGAACGGAGCAUGUCCAUUCCACUGGUCGAUCUGGCAAUGUGAUUUCUCCUCAUAUGGUACACACCCU
rnacentral:snRNA from 1 species